GAGACUGGAAGACAGCAUGCUGUAUCUCUCGGCUCCAACUGUAGGACUAGGACUUCGCGUUUUUGGACGAACUUUACUGACGAAUUUAUCAAACUUCUUACCAUGACCAAUCUUCUGCAUUCAGUUAUAACUGUUGGAUUAUUAUAACACUCUUUAUCUGAGACGGAGGCUUGGUCAAUAUUUUAAGGGCAAGGAAGUCUGAACUCAAUUGACUUUUUGUCAUCGGUGGCAAGAAAGAUUUUUUACAAAAAGCUGGACAGGCCUACUCAAAAAAAAAUAUACUCGAAACAAAAGUCACUAGGCCGGCAUGUUAACUGGGAGUUUGUCACAUUAAAUCUCAAGUCCGACAACAAAAUAUGUUACUUUCGGAUGGGCUGCGAGUGGCUGGAAAGAGCUCCCCUGAAUUACCGUAGCCUAUAAGAUUGCAGUUAUAUGAAACUUCAUUACCGAACGCCAUCUUGUUGAGGCAAGGCUUCGAUACAUCUAUAGACCAAAAUCGUAGUAAUAACUCCACUUCGAACUUGAACUAACAUAGAUGGGUUUAUGGGAUUUACUUAUACGUCACGUGGGGAACGUCGGUGGAGGAAGACGGGGAACGACACUUGAAGCAGACCAAGCAGCGAGCUCGAUCAGCCAAGAUUCAACUGUUGAGUUGCAAAAACUACACCUUCUCGCUGACGGUUCUCAAGCCCUUGAAGUGACAGGGUGUCUGUGUUCAGAUGGGAGUUGAAGAUCUAUGGAUAUGUGGCCGGGUGUUUGUGUGUUUUUGUCUAUGGAUCUGGACGUACAAUGGAGUCACCAAAGGACCAAGUCUUUCAACACAAUGUUGAAAUGCUCUUUGAUGUCUCUAAUUCGUGAGCUGAGGUCAGGAGUUUGCAGCAGAGAUCUUGUUUUAUUCUUGAAGAUGAAGGUGAUGCCUAUGCGAGCAGGCACUUGGUGUAGCUUGUGGAAUGGCGACUACAACUGGACCUGUUUGGAUGAACAUGUUGGAGGUCAAAGAUCAUACAUUAGUCUGCUUGGUAGAGUAUAAACAAAAUUAUAAUUCUAAAACUUAUUUUACGAAAGAAAAGGUUAAUCCCACAUAGGGGCCUACUUGGCAAAUUGAGUUGAUGUUUAAAAAAAACACAUCUUCAAUGAUUUUCUUUUUUUUUAAAUACAUUCUUUCACAUCCUGAAGUUUUUGAUAAACAAACGACCAACAGGGUAAAGUUUAUCAGCAGUAUUUUUGAAGGACAAAAAGAAAACCUAAAACUGAUCAGAGCUAUCAAAUAAUUUUCUUUCACAUGAUAGCAUUCACAUUUUAACUGUUCAAUUCAAUUCAAUUCGAUUGAACAAACUUUAAUUAUCCUUAAUAGGCAAUUUACAUCAUUUGGCUAGCUCCAUAUUCACACACUGUGGCAAUUCUUGGACACCGUGUAUAUACAAUCUGGUUUUGGUAAAGUAUUGUGGUAACAUCAGGUAAUUGUGAGACAAUUUUUUGCUAAUUGGUGUGACCCCAUUAUUAUAACCAUUCUACAUAUAUUUGUUCUUCCAAACAGCAGGUCGUGUUUUCAUCUUGAAGAUGAUGAAGUUGUUUGUGAGCUGAAAUAAUCACUGAGCUGAGGAGAUGCCUAUACCAGCAGAGACAUGAUGGGUCUUGGACAAUUGUCCAGCUGUCUCUUGUUGAGUGGUGACUACAACUGGACCUGCUAAGAAUCAACAGACUGCUUUCUCUUGCUGGGAUGGUGACUACAACUGGACCUGUAUGGAUAAGCAUCAUUGGAGGACAGGAAUACGGAGUUGUGACUACAA